rnacentral:rRNA from 1 species
UACGAAGGGAGCUAGCGUUGUUCGGAAUCACUGGGCGUAAAGCGCACGUAGGCGGCCUGUUAAGUCGAACGUGAAAUCCCCGGGCUCAACCCGGGAACUGCGUCCGAUACUGGCAGGCUUGAAUCCGGGAGAGGGAUGCGGAAUUCCAGGUGUAGCGGUGAAAUGCGCAGAUAUCAGGAGGAACACCGGUGGCGAAGGCGGAUCUCUGGGCCGUAACUGACGCUGAGGAGCGAAAGCAUGGGGGAGCGAACAGG